rnacentral:lncRNA from 1 species
GUAAAAUACGGAUUGUUUACAAAGAAAAAGAGUGUUGUCCUCGAAACUCGAUAACCAUUGUUUAAGACGCAGUCUUGUGAUUAACAGAUCCACUAUGCCUCCAGGAAUAAACAAAUUUUCAAACUCGGAGUCGAAAGUUCCUUUUUUGUAUUUUUUUUUUUUUUUUUUGUGCUUUUCAUGCGACCGUACUUCUUAAGAAAACAUUCAUCGACUUUUCUGGUUUGAUUUUUAAAAACGACGCUUUUUUUCAUUCAAAUAGAUUUAUUUAUUCAGCAUAUACUUUUUAUCAAUCAAUUUACAUGCUGUGCAGAAGAAAAAAAACCCAGAAAAAUCGGUCUAUAUUAUUUCACUCUCUGCACAUGAAAUUAAAAUUGUAAUGAAAAACUGGAACUUGGACCUAAAAUCAAUUCAACAUUUUCGAAAAUAACGAAAGAAAUAUUAUAGAAAGAUGAUUAAGUACCUGAUUUGUAG